AUUGAACGCUGGCGGCAGGCCUAACACAUGCAAGUCGAACGAGUGGCGGACGGGUGAGUAAUGUCUGGGAAACUGCCUGAUGGAGGGGGAUAACUACUGGAAACGGUAGCUAAUACCGCAUACCAUCAGAUGUGCCCAGAGGUGAUUAGCUAGUGGGUUGGGUAACGGCUCACCAAGGCGACGAUCCCUAGCGGGUCUGAGAGGAUGACCAGCAACACGGGAAUGGAGACACGGUCAGAAUCCCACGGGAGGGAACAGUGGGGAAUAUUGGAAAAUGGGGGAAAUCCGAAGGCAGACAUGCGGGGGAUAGGAAGAGGGCCUUGGGGUUGUAAAGUACGUUAAGCGGGGAGGCGGUACCCGCAGAAAAAGCAACGGCUAACUACGUGCCAGCAGCCGCGGUAAUUC
rnacentral:rRNA from 1 species